AUGCAGAUGGUGUCCUCAGGUCAAACCUCCAUCAACAUUAAUGCGGAGAUUGGCCCUUAUUUCCCCACCUUAUGUGGGGUCCGGCAGGGCGACCCGUUCUCCCCUUUCCUUUUCAACAUGGUGGUCGACGCUCUUGCGGCCAUCCUUGACAAGAUAAAGGCUACGGGUCACAUUCGGGGAAUUAUCCCCCACCUGGUCGGUGGAAAUGGGGUAUCUCUGCUCCAAUACGCUAACGACACCAUUAUUAUGGUCGAAGGAUCCGCGAACGACAUCAUGAACCUCAAGUUCCUCCUACUAUGCUUUCAGCACCUAUCGGGUCUCAAGAUUAACUUCGACAAGAGCCAGGUUAUGGUGUUGGGGUACUCGCCUGAGGAGGCUCAGAGUAUUACCAACCGGCUUAAUUUCCCGUUGGGUUCCUUCCCCACUACCUACCUGGGGAUCCCCAUUAGUGACUCCCACCUGAUUGUUGCUGAUUUGAGGCCCUCGAUGCUCAUACCGCAACACCGCAUCGAACCCUGGCAGGGCAGAUGGUUCUCAACGGCGGAUCAGACCAUCCUCAUUAAUUCCAACCUGUCUAGCCUCCUGUUGUUUAUUAUGAGCUUGUACAGCCUUCCAGAGACUCUGCACCAUGAGAUUGGCACGAUCCAAGGCCCGCUUCUUCUGGGCGGGCGAGGGAGACAAGCAGAAAUAUCACAUGGUUCGAUGGCCCGUGAUCUGCAAGCCUCGUGA
rnacentral:rRNA from 1 species